rnacentral:rRNA from 1 species
AUUGAACGCUGGCGGCAGGCCUAACACAUGCAAGUCGAACGGAGCGGCGAACGGGUGAGUAAUGCCUAGGAAUCUGCCUGGUAGUGGGGGAGAACGUCCGGGAACGGGCGGUAAUACCGUCUCCUAGCAAAUGAGCCUAGGUCGGAUUUGCUAGGUGGGGGGGUAAAGGCCUACCAGGGCGACGAUCCGUAACUGUGCUGAGAGGAUGAUCAGUCAAACUGGAACGGAGAAACGGUCCAGCCUCCUACGGGAGGCAGCAGUGGGGAAUAUUGGACAAUGGGCGAAAGCCUGAUCCAGCCCUGCCGCGUGUGUGAAGGAGGUCUUCGGAUUGUAAAGCACUUUAAGUUGGGAGGCGUUACCAACAGAAUAAGCACCGGCUAACUUCGUGCCAGCAGCCGCGGUAAUAC